AUCAGGACAAUUUGGCAGUAUCGUAGCCAAUGAGGUUUAUCUGAGGCGCGAUUAUUGCUAAUUGUAUUAGAUAACAAAUUAUCUUAGAGCCAUGCAUACUCUUAGCACUUUAUAAAUAUCCAUGAAAGCAUAGUUAUAGGGAU